AUGGGUGAUCAGCUCCACAAACGGUCAAUUUCAACAAGGUAUGAUUGCAUAUAUUGUAACAAGUUUGAGACCGUGGAACACUGCUUCCUUUUGUGCCAUUAUGUUAAAGAAACCUGGGCAGAGCUUAAAAAGUCAUUUGAUUUGUCUUUAAAACUGAAAAGCUUUGUCCAUAUACAACAAUGGCUUCUGUAUUGGAUUGCUAGUGCCUCAGAUUUACAUGCACUGAUCCUUGCCGUGGCGAUUUGGCAUAUAUGGGAGAACAGGAACAACAUAAGAAAUGGUGAAAAAAUGGAUCAUCCUUCAUGUGUGGUGGGCAAGAUCAAAGCUUAUGUUCAUUUUAUCUUAUUGUACAAUUUCAGGUCGAUUGGCUCCAAUAGGCGUGAGCACCAGGUGUCAAUCCCGAAGUGGUCUCCGCCGCCGGCCGAGUCGGUCAAGGUCAAUGUUGAUGCUGCAAUUUUUGCCCAGACUAAACGCAUGGGCAUUGGUGUUGUGAUCCGAAAUCAUCUAGGUCUGGUGCUAGCAGCAAGCAGAGGGUUUGUUAAUCAUGUUGAUAAUCCGGAGCUCGGUGAAGCUAUUGCAAUGCGCCAUGCGUUGAUUUUUGCUGAAGAUUCCGGUUUCUAGAAAAUUUGUGUGGAGACAGAUUAUGCCAGUUUGAUCAGCAAAAUUAAGAGCAAAGUGAAUGACAGGUUCUUA
rnacentral:rRNA from 1 species